rnacentral:misc_RNA from 1 species
UACUGUUGCAGAGACUCAGACAGACAAGGUCGAGGAGCAGAAACCAAGAACUCGUUCUCUAUCUCCAGCCAAGACUAGGAGUCGUACACCGUCUGAGUCGAGUUACACGGAAUCUUCGUCUAUAUCUGAAACAUUUAACGAGUGUGUUUCGGAGGGUCAGAUGCUUAUCAACAAAAGAGAUGGGGAAGUGUCUGACGUCCUAAUAGAUGAGGAGAAACGGGACUUACUUUAUGUCUGUACAGUUUCUGUAAAAGACCGAGUUCCCGCCAGAGAAGGACCCAGUGCUAGACAUGUUGGCUCGUUUACAGAGUGCUGCCCCACAGUAUGGCAUGUAUGAGAUGUCAUAUAAACAGGUAACAGAUGUCCUAAGUACAACAGGUAAGAGCGAGGGAGAAGUUAUCCUUGUUGUUCCAGCUGGCCAGCAAAAGUACAUUCCUGAACAAGACAUUGGGUAUGCUGCACCUACACAUAGCAAAUCACCACGUACAAUGUCACCACUGGGCGGAGCUUCAUACCACAGAUGUGUGUCCUCACCACAGAAAGACAAGAGUUCCAAGCGUUCACAACACCCACUCGAGUUUCAUUGGAAGGUGACUUGAAUGACCAACAGAGAUCUGUUAACCCAACCAGAGGUAUCCUCAAACGAAGCUCCGCAUUCGACAAUAAUGCUCAAGGUCAGCCAAUGAGAAGAGACGACACUGAUGUUCCAUUGAGGGAUUCUGGGAGGUCGCACACACCAAUAGGAAGGUUACACCAGGUGGAAGGCAGCCGCAAGCUAAGGGCAUGAUUGGUGCAGGAGGCAGAACAGUCCAACAAGGCGAAAGAUAAAGUCAUUAUCCCACAACCCACUCACUACAGGUAUAAACUUGCUUUAGUACUUUUUCAUGAGGGAGGUCAAAACUGCUUUGAAAAAUUGAAGGUAUCUCAAAUGGCUGUCCCAGCUGGGGCCAGUAUGGAUCAGACUUCCUCCAGAAUCUCAAAAACCGAAAACAGAAUCACCAAAAUCAGCCACAUCACCGCAGGUAACAGAGAUGGAUUAAGAAGAACUGGCUGAACAAACAUAAAAACUGCAUGGAGGAUUAAGUCAUGGCUAAAAUAUAUUUCAACAACACCCCUGGAAAGAAAUUGUUCUAAAACUUAAAUCUUUGACAUGUCAGGGCUAAUUUGUUACAAGUUUUUAAAAUUUUCUUAAUGCAUUUAUUUACGGUAGAAAACACUGUACACACUUUAUAUACAUUUGUUAUACUGUUUCACUUGCAAUUUAAUCACAAAACAUUACAAAUUUUAUUUUGUUGU